ACAAGUUGCAGAGCGCAAGAUGCCAGGGAAAAAUUACCAUCAUUCCAAGCCCUCAGUCAUUGAACGACCUAUCCAAAGAUUGGUUCUUUUAAUAGAAAGUAAAUAAUUGGUUGUCAACUUAAAGUACACUUGCAUCAGACAUGUUAGUUUAAUCGUUUCACAAGGGUGAUAUCUGCCUCAUAUAUAUGAAACCUACUUUACAUGUAGCCACUUUGUAUAAAGAAGAAAUCAUGCAUGAUUAUCUGUUUGUUGUUUAUCAUAACAUGAUUUGGUGGGAGUGUAAGUGCCCUUGAUUUUUUCAUUUGUUAUAACCGUUGUUAAUGUGCAAGGUGUGUGUAGUUGGAACCUGUGUUCGGGAUCAGAUUGAUCGGAGGAAUUUUUCGAUGAUGCGCACGUUCACAGCAUGUGCCUUUUUUUUGGUUAGCUGUUAGUUUUUGUCUCUGCAUGCAUUUUGAGAAAUAGCGUGGAUUACAUUUUUGUAAGUUUUCAUUUUUGAACACUGGUACUGGAUUGUCGGAGUUUAGCAAAGUUUGGUAAUGUUUUGCACCCUUGGUAAAGCGGAGCGAGUUUCACGGUGGUGAUUGGUGUUGAACGGUGAUCGAUGGAUGCUUCAUGUUAAAGAGUACGAACUGAAGACGUGUUCCAAUAAACGAUCUACACCCGUA